GAUGAAGAACGUAGCGAAAUGCGAUAAGUAAUGUGAAUUGCAGAAUUCAGUGAAUCAUCGAAUCUUUGAACGCACCUUGCACCCUUUGGUAUUCCGAAGGGUAUGCUCGUUUGAGUGUCAUUGUACUCUCACACUUCUAAUUCCUUUCGGGAUUGGGAGCGGUGGACUUGGGUGUUGCUGCUUUAGUUGUGGCUCACCUCAAAUAAGUUAGUGCAACUCUUGGUUGGACAUAGUACGGCGUGAGAAGUGUCUUCGCCGGCGCCUCUGUAAGGAGGGUGGCCGAUCGGGAGCUCUGUGCUUCAAACCGUCUUCGGACAAUCUUUGACAACUUGACCUCAAAUCGAGUAGGACUACCCGCUGAACUUAAGCAUAUCAAUAAGCGGAGGA
rnacentral:misc_RNA from 1 species